AGGACGAACGCUGGCGGCGUGCUUAACACAUGCAAGUCGAGCGGAAAGGCCCUUCGGGGUACUCGAGCGGCGAACGGGUGAGUAACACGUGAGUAAUCUGCCCCUAUGCUCUGGGAUAGCUCCGGGAAACCGGGAUUAAUACCAGAUACGACCACUUUAGACAUCUGUUGUGGUGGAAAGAAUUUUGGCUAGGGAUGAGCUCGCGGCCUAUCAGCUUGUUGGUGAGGUAACGGCUCACCAAGGCGACGACGGGUAGCCGGCCUGAGAGGGCGACCGGCCACACUGGGACUGAGACACGGCCCAGACUCCUACGGGAGGCAGCAGUGGGGAAUAUUGCGCAAUGGGCGAAAGCCUGACGCAGCGACGCCGCGUGGGGGAUGAAGGCCUUCGGGUUGUAAACCCUUUCAGCAGGGACGAAGCGAAAGUGACGGUACCUGCAGAAGAAGCGCCGGCUAACUACGCGCCAGCAGCCGCGAUAA
rnacentral:rRNA from 1 species